ACAUAAGCGCUUGGCCCAUGUAUUAAUUUAUGUGGCUCUCCACGAUCAUCAUUGUUGAAUGCACAUCAUUUCCAUAUGAUGCCCAUGGAUCAUUACAUGGCUAACUGGUAGGAUCCCUGUGUGGGUUGCACGCUGAUUGAACUAGAUCUUUUGAGAAGGGUUCGAGUGAGAGCAUGCUUGUCAGGACUUAAAAGAUGGUGAACUAUGCCUAAGUGUGGUGAAGCCAUAGAUAACUCUGGUGGAGGCCAUUUGCGAUACUAAUGCGCAAAUCAUUCAUCUGACUUGGGUAUAGGGGUGAAAGACUAAUCGAACCAUCUAGUAGUUGGUUCCCUUCGAUGUUUUCCUCAAGAUAACUGGAGCCCAGCCCCCAGGUGUGAGUUCUGUAGGGUAAAGCCAAUGAUUAAAGGCAUUGGGGGCGCAUCGCCCUCAACCUAUUCUCAAACUUUAAAUAGGUAGGAUGGUGUACUUGCUCUGUUGAGUUGUGCCACGGAAUCGAGAGCUCCAAGUGGCCAUUUUUGGUAAGCAGAACUGACAACGUGGGAUGAACCGAAAGCCGGGUUAUGGUGCCCAAUUGCACACUAACCUAGAAUCUACAAAGGGUGUUGGUCGAUUAAGACAAUAGGAUAGUGGUGAUGGAAGUCAAAAUCCACUAAGGAGUGUGUAAUAAUUCACCUACCAAAUCAACUAGCCCCAAAAAUGGAUGGAGUUGAAGCAUGCGACCCAUACCCAAUCGUCGGGGUGAUAGCUAGGCCCCAAUUAGUAGGAGGGCAUGAUAGUCUUUGUAAAUCCCAGGCUGUGAGCCUAGGUGGAGCGACCAUCAAUGUAGAUCUCGGUGGUAGUAGUAAAUAUUCAAAUAAGAAAUUUGAAGGCCAAAGAGAGAAAAUGUUCCAUGUGAAUGGCACUUGUAGACAUUCUAAAAUGGAUAAAUUCCAAAAUAGUCACAAUCUCCAAAUAUCAAACAAGUC
rnacentral:ncRNA from 1 species